AUUGAACGCUGGCGGCAUGCUUUACACAUGCAAGUCGAACGGCAGCGGGGAGGAGCUUGCUUCUCUGCCGGCGAGUGGCGAACGGGUGAGUAAUACAUCGGAACGUGUCGAGAAGAGGGGGAUAACCACCCGAAAGGGUGGCUAAUACCGCAUAAAUUCUGAGGAAGAAAGCUGGGGACCUUGGAAUAGGCCUAGCGCUUUUUGAGCGGCCGAUGUCGGAUUAGCUAGUUGGUGAGGUAAAGGCUCACCAAGGCGAAGACCUGUAGCGGGUCUGAGAGGAUGAUCCGCCACACUGGGACUGAGACACGGCCCAGACUCCUACGGGAGGCAGCAGUGGGGAAUUUUGGACAAUGGGGGCAACCCUGAUCCAGCCAUGCCGCGUGUAUGAAGAAGGCCUUAGGGUUGUAAAGUACUUUUGUUAGGGAAGAAAAGUCAGCUGUGAAUAAUGGCUGAUACUGACGGUACCUAAAGAAUAAGCACCGGCUAACUACGUG
rnacentral:rRNA from 1 species